AGCGAACGCUGGCGGCAGGCCUAACACAUGCAAGUCGAGCGGCCGUAGCAAUACGGCAGCGGCAGACGGGAGAGUAACACGUGGGAACGUGCCCAUCAGUUCGGAACAACCCAGGGAAACUUGGGCUAAUACCGGAUACGCCUUACGGGAAGGAUUAUCGCUGAUGGAGCGGCCCGCGUCUGAUUAGCUAGUUGGUUGAGGUAACGGCGUCACCAAGGCGACGAUCAGAGCUGGUCUGAGAGGAUGAUCAGCCUCACUGGGACGUGAGACACGGCCCA
rnacentral:rRNA from 1 species